rnacentral:tRNA from 1 species
UCCAGUGUAGUGUAGUGGUUUGAGCAUUGGACUAGGACUCUGGAGACCAGGGUUCAAAUCCUGGCUCGGCCA